rnacentral:rRNA from 1 species
AUGCAAGUCGAACGAGGCCUUCGGGUCUAGUGGCGAACGGCGGAGUAAUACAUGAGCAACGUGCCUCAAAGCCCGGGACAAACGCAGAAAUGUUAUAAAUACCGGAUGUGGCCGUCUACAGGCAUCUGUGGACGAUUAAAGGUUUUUCGCUUUGAGGGCGGCUCAUGGCACAUCGGCUAGUUGGUGGGGUAACGGCCUACCAAGGCGACGACGUGUAGGGGGUCUGAGAGGAUUAUCCCCCCGAGUGGGACUGAGACACGGCCCACACACCUACGGGUGGCAGCAGUUGGGAAUCUUGCACAAUGGGGGAAACCCUGAUGCAGCGACGCCGCGUGGAGGAUGAAGGAUCUAGGUCUGUAAACUCCUUUUUCACGGAAAGACUUAGGACGGUACCGUGAGAAUAAGCCCCGGCUAACUACGUGCCAGCAGCCGCGGUAAGACGUAGGGGGCGAGCGUUGUCCGGAUUUACUGGGCGUAAAGGGCGCGUAGGCGGUCUGUUAAGUGUGAAGCUAAAUCUCCGAGCUCAACUCGGAAAUCAUUUCGCAUACUGGCAGACUGGAGGAAGGAAGAGGUAACUGGAAUUCCUGGUGUAACGGUGAAAUGUGUUGAUAUCAGGAGGAACUCCAAUGGCGAAGGCAGGUUACUGGUCCUUUUCUGACGCUGAGGCGCGAAAGCGUGGGUAGCAAACAGGAUUAGAUACCCUGGUAGUCCACGCCCUAAACGAUGGAUGCUAGUCGUAAGAGGUAUCGACCCCUCUUGUGACGCAGCUAACGCAUUAAGCAUC